GCUCUCCUAGCUCAGUGGAUAGAGCACCGGCCUCCGGAGCCGGGUGCCCGGGUUCGAUUCCCGGGGAGAGCG
rnacentral:tRNA from 1 species